GGUUCUCGUACGAUCGCCGAAGUUAAGCAUCGUAGAGCCAGGUCAGUACUUAUAUGGGAGACUGCUUGGGAACACCUGGUGCUGUAA